rnacentral:rRNA from 1 species
AUGAACGCUAGCGAUAGGCUUAACACAUGCAAGUCGAGGGGCAUCACGGGGUAGCAAUACUUUGGUGGCGACCGGCGUACGGGUGCGUAACACGUAUGCAACCUUCCUGUAAGUGUGGGAUAGCCUCCUGAAAGGGAGAUUAAUACCGCAUGAUAUGUAUUUGCUGCAUGGUAGAUACAUUAAACAUUUAUGGCUUACAGAUGGGCAUGCGUUCCAUUAGGCAGUUGGUGGGGUAACGGCUCACCAAACCUACGAUGGAUAGGGGUUCUGAGAGGAAGGUCCCCCACACUGGAACUGAGACACGGUCCAGACUCCUACGGGAGGCAGCAGUGAGGAAUAUUGGUCAAUGGGCGUAAGCCUGAACCAGCCAAGUCGCGUGAAGGAUGACUGCCUUAUGGGUUGUAAACUUCUUUUACAGGGGAAUAAAUUGAGUCACGUGUGAUUUUUUGCAUGUACCCUGUGAAUAAGCAUCGGCUAACUCCGUG